AAUCAGCCCAAUGUGAUGUAAACAAUCAAAACUUCUGUUUUCACCUUAUGGAAUUUUGAAGUCUAGACAUUUACUGGAUGAAGUCUGAAGGCAUAGAUAAAGCUUACAGUCUGGACUUGUGGCACACAGGAGGAACACAUGGCUUAGUUCAAAAUGGCCACUGCUAUGGUUUGAAUGUGUGAUGUCCUUCAUGGCUUAUGUGUUGGAGCACUUGUCCCCUAGUUGGAGGAGCUGUUCUGCCCAUCCUGUGAUUUCCCUCCCUUGCAAACCUUCUUUCCUUCUUACAUUCCUCUGUUGCAACACAGGCCCACGUAAAGGGAGGCAUUCAGGAGGAGAUACAGAGACA